rnacentral:rRNA from 1 species
AUUGAACGCUGGCGGCAUGCCUUACACAUGCAAGUCGAACGGCAGCACGGGAGCAAUCCUGGUGGCGAGUGGCGAACGGGUGAGUAAUACAUCGGAACGUGCCCAAUCGUGGGGGAUAACGCAGCGAAAGCUGUGCUAAUACCGCAUACGAUCUACGGAUGAAAGCAGGGGAUCGCAAGACCUUGCGCGAAUGGAGCGGCCGAUGGCAGAUUAGGUAGCUGGUGAGGUAAAGGCUCACCAAGCCGUCGAUCUGUAGCUGGUCUGAGAGGACGACCAGCCACACUGGGACUGAGACACGGCCCAGACUCCUACGGGAGGCAGCAGUGGGGAAUUUUGGACAAUGGGCGAAAGCCUGAUCCAGCCAUGCCGCGUGCAGGAUGAAGGCCUUCGGGUUGUAAACUGCUUUUGUACGGAACGAAACGGCCUUUUCUAAUAAAGAGGGCUAAUGACGGUACCGUAAGAAUAAGCACCGGCUAACUACGUGCCAGCAGCCGCGGUAAUACGUAGGGUGCAAGCGUUAAUCGGAAUUACUGGGCGUAAAGCGUGCGCAGGCGGUUAUGUAAGACAGUUGUGAAAUCCCCGGGCUCAACCUGGGAACUGCAUCUGUGACUGCAUAGCUAGAGUACGGUAGAGGGGGAUGGAAUUCCGCGUGUAGCAGUGAAAUGCGUAGAUAUGCGGAGGAACACCGAUGGCGAAGGCAAUCCCCUGGACCUGUACUGACGCUCAUGCACGAAAGCGUGGGGAGCAAACAGG